AAAGAUGUCUUUUUGUCACUUCCAGCUGGAUCUACCAUGAAGGACUUCUGAAUCCAGGAAGAGAGACUGACUGGGCAACAUGUUAUUCAGGGUCUCCCUCUGUUGUCCAAGGCUGGAGUGUAGUAGUGCUAUCGCAGCUGACUGCAGCCUCAACCUUCCAGGCUGAAGCGAUCCUCCUACCUCAACCUCCCACGUGGCUGAGACUACAGGUGCUUGACACUAUGCCCAACUAAUAUUUGGAAUUUUCGUAUACGUGGAUUCCAGAGGGGUGACAGUGUAACGUGAGUGGGACCAUCCAGUUUCAGGAAA
rnacentral:lncRNA from 1 species